rnacentral:rRNA from 1 species
GACGGAGGUUGCAAGUGUUAUCCGGAUUCACUGGGCGUAAAGCGUCUGUAGGUGGUCCAAUAAGUCAGCUGUUAAAUCUUGAGGCUCAACCUCAAAAUCGCAGUCGAAACUAUUAGACUAGAGUAUAGUAGGGGUAAAGGGAAUUUCCAGUGGAGCGGUGAAAUGCGUAGAGAUUGGAAAGAACACCGAUGGCGAAGGCACUGUACUGGGCUAUUACUAACACUCAGAGACGAAAGCUAGGGUAGCAAAUGGG